GGGCAGGGAGGGAAGAAGAGAGAGAGAGAAACGUCAAUAUGAGAGAGAAGCAUCGAUCAGUUGCUUCUCCUGUGCUCCCGCAUCAGGGACGGAACCUGUAAGUCAGGAAUUGAACCAGCAACCUUCCGCUCUGCAGUGACACCCGACCGGCUGAGCCACUUGAGCAGAGAGGAUGAAGAAGUUGAAUGAUCAAAGGGUUUGCUGUGUUCGCCUGAGAUUCUGGCACGUGGACACCUCAGACACAGAGUCCGAGGCGGACUCUGUACGUGGUCCUCUGGGGCAAAGGAACGUGCCCCUGGUAAUAGGCCGGAAACCAGUGAAGGAGUGAAGGAGCGGGGCAUGAAAAAAAUCAUCACUCUUUUUCAAGGUUGUGUGAAUAUCAAAAUAGCAAACUGGCCUUGGAUGGUGUGGCUCAAUGGAUCGAGCACCAACCUGUGAACAAGGGAGUCACCAGUUCAAUUCCUGGUCAAGGCACAUGCCUGGGUUGCAGACCAGGUCCCCGAUGUGGGGGUGUGUGA